AAAAGAAAAAAAAUUUCGAAGAAUUUUAUAUUAUACAUUUUUCCGAGCCAGUCUCCAACGAAUCGAAGAAUCGAUAACGAGAAGAUCGUGCAUCGAUAACCUAAACCGAGAAUCGGUCGAUAAAGAAGAACGCAUCGAGAACGGUUUCUUGCCCGACUCCGUGCCGAUCCAAUUGGACGAAAAGAUUGAAGCGGUUAGGGUUAAUAUUAAUACUGGAAAUUGGCGGGACCGCGUUACAAGGGAAAUUGCCUCGAGUUACGGGCGAGGCGGCAAUCAUCAGACGUCUUCGUCGCAAGAUUUCAGAGGAGCUGCUUUAACCCGGCCGGAUGCCAUCCGCUGAUACGGGAUUCACGAAUUUCCACCGUAAAUAACCGCCCGCUUAACCCUCGCUUAAACCCAACUUAAGGUCGCCCCACCGAGGGGCGAAAACUUCGCGAACAAUCUCUUUCGACGCCCGAAACCUUAUUAAAUCCCCCCCACCCUUCAACGAAAACACUCUCUGAUUCGAGAAACAGAUCCGUUUUCGAUACAUCAGGGAUCCUCGAUUCCCGAGAUUAAGCCAGAUUUCGUUUAUAUUGUUUAUUGAAAUUGGCUUGGGCGAUCGUGGAGACGACCCGUUAAAUAAGAAUCAUUUAUCGAGAAUCGAUCGUGUUUCGAAGCUUUCAAGAAGUAUUUCCCCCCAUAUCUAAGGGGAUUAAUCUAUCCCUCGGUUGUGAUGUCGUAAAUAAUAGAUUUGUUUCUUAUUUUCGAAGAGUGAAUUAUCAAAUUGUCGUUAUUAUCAAAUUGUAGUGUUCGUAAAACAGCAGGACGAUUUUUGAUUUUACGAAAAAAAUAAUUUCUAAAUUUAAUAAAUAAAUUAAUUACAAUUCUUCCUAGAAUAGAAAUAAUUCGAUAGUAUAACUCAUAAAGAAUUAUUAUAAAAGAUAUAAAAGAAUGAAGAAAAAAAUUUUUAUCAUCGAGCGCACAAAUAUAUACGUAAAUAACAUGAUAUACUUCGAUGCGAUAUUCUCGUUUCGUCGCAGCAACGACGAAAAACCAACUCCCUCUCUCCCUCCCUCCCUCCUCUCAUUCGCACAAACGAGAGGCGAAGGUUUAAUUCCUCGAAAUCGAUCUGGAAUAAUCGUACACGUUGUACCCAUUUGUAAAAUGCAAUUUACGUGUUACGUUAUGCAACAUCGAUUUUAUGUGCCAAACCUUGACUUAUAAUCCGUAUAAAUAUGGGAGAGAUUUCGCGGGGGAGAGCAUCAACGGUGAAACGCGCGCGAAACAAUUCGUCUACCGUGUUACGUAUAUAAUUCAUCCUGAUAAUUAUGUACGCCGUGCGAAGAUAAGCCGCCACGCGAAUACGAGCCACGAGAGGUAUAGCGGGAUGGCGGGCGCAACAGUCGCAUUAAUUUCUCUUAAAUCAUAAUAGGCGGAAUUAGUAUAUAUCUAGACUACUCGCAUUACCUAUUUUACCGCCCGUGAAUACGAUCGUGAAUAUAACUGGAAUGGGUGUGCAAGAUCGAUAAUUCCGCGAUUCGUUCCGUUCUAAUGACGUUUUAAUGCUUACGUGCGCGAAGAUAUUCCCCGCGUGUCGUUGAAAAAUUCACGCCGUAUGAAUCAUUCCUGGAUUCCUGUUAUCCUGUCGUUCGUUAUUCAUUUCGGGAAUAAUAUGAAAUUUCUAUUGGAAUUCGAUAUCAAUUUUUUUUCUCUCUCUCUUUCUCGACGAGAAUAGUAUCUUUUAUACGAAGGGAAUCCUGAAAAUCAUUGAUCAUUGAUUUUGUAAAUACGAAUUGAUGCUUUUAGAUUCCAUUGUAUUAAUGGUUUCGGGUUUAUUCUGCAUUUGGAAACGAAAGAAUUUCUUAAAGGGAAAAUUCAGAAUCUUAUAAAAAUUAUUUUUGUAUUCAUAUUAGCUGAUGGUAAAAUAUAACGUAAAAAACUUUGAAGAUUAAAUUGGCACGUCUCUAUAAAUUAAUUUCGAAUUUCUUUCGUCCCAUUCAUAGAUAACCGAGAGAUAAGUAAUUAUAAAAAUUAGAUUACAAAUCUUGUCGAGUUUCUCUCUUCCGUGGCACGAUUUCAGAACGAAGAUUAUAAUAUCAUUAUGAAAAGUAUACUCGUUUCGCGGAUUGCACGCUUUCAAAGCUGCGGAAGCAGCUUUCAGAACGAUCCAUUCGAUACUCUCGCAUUUCCUUUUCAUUUCACAAUCCUUCUCCAUUCUCGUCCAACUAUUUCAUCCUUGGCCCGGCGAACAACUUGUCUCGAGGAAUUUCACCAACGAUGACGAUUCAAAACGAUCGUAGAAUUCUAUUCAACGACACUCGCGCACACGGAAAAUAACGAUUGAAAAGUUUUUUUUUUUUUUUUUUCAUCCGACGAAAGAAGGAAAUUACGAGAGUUUUGGCCCGUUUGUUUAUGCAGAUCAAAAAUUAGAGCAGGCCGUGCGGAUAAUUGGAAACGCAUUACUUCUGCUCUUCUAUAUCGUGUGCCGGUAAUUAAGCUGUCAUUUGCACCGUCCGAGUUCCCCGUCCGCCAUUUUUACGAGUCCAGAGCCAUCAAAGAGCCGUGGCUGAUUUCUUGAACGUCCACUGACCAGAGAGGGAAAGUAAACAUCGUAGCUGCUCGUUAAGUGCCAUCCUUUCAUCUUUCACGCUCAAACGGAUACGAAAAGUCGCGAUUAAUUUACUUUUAACGUUCGAUUUUCUUUUCGUUUCACUCUGUGAAAUGCCAAUUAUCCGUCUGCAAUCUACGAGAGUUGAUUUAUUACGUUGGGAUCGCGAUGAGAAGAAGUAUCGGACGAGUUAAAAGAAUUAUUUUCAAGUGGAAUACGAUUAUCCGUAUUUUCGUUUCGCGUGUAUUUUUAAUUCGAGAAUGGAAUCGUCGAGAAAUCGUGCCUCGCGUAAAGAGAAUAUGAGAUAAGGGAAUAACGUUUUUAUAUCUCGUUCGCAUCUAGCAACAUUGUGACAAGAUCGGAGACUUUCCUUAUCACCGUUUCUUUCAUCUCGCCGUGGAAAUUUAAUUUCUUCGCCAUCAAUGCCAUCAACGUUGAUCUCGUUACGAAUACCAUUUCCAAUAUCGAUGAAAACUCUCUCGUCCGAAGAUUAAUUUCGACUUUGACGAUGUUUGCCACUUUGCAUUAGAAAUUUGUGAUCGUUUUAUCGCCUGGAGUUUUUUUCGAAGCAAAUUUUAUAUUUCGAAUGAAAAAGAGCUUACCCGGUGAAAGAGGACGAUUUAUAUAUUCGAGCAUCGGCUCUCGUCGAGUAUCGAGGAACCCGUGGAAUCGGAUAGCGAAGUAUCAACAAGAAACUUUCAAUUCAGCCGAUAGACAAAAUUCAAAAUCCUUUCUGGAAAAUAAAUAAUGAAACGUCGGCCCCGUCGGAAAUGGAACGGUGGAAAGAGGUCGCAACAAAUUGCGGAUCAAAUAUUCCCAGGCGGGGAACGGCGGGGGUUUUCGGUCUCGACUCUCGAAAUGGAUUUCGAGAGCGAGAAUUUCUCGUUGUUUAGUUUUAUCUUUGAAUUACGGCAGGAGUGGGGGAAGGAGCGAAGAGGUGGGGAGCAACCGUUAUGAAAGCAAGUGGCCGCGCAUUGGUUCGAUGAAUUCGCUUAAUGGAAGCAUUAGAGCAUUGCCUUUCGCCCACCGUUUUCCAAGGGAACCCGGUUUUAUGCUCGCCGCAACAAUGACCCAUCCACGCAUGCGUCCGGAUCUCAUCAACUGCGAACGCUCUUCAUAAACGUACAAUUACGAAGCUGCGUUAUAUAAUCUUCGGAAGAUUAAGAUCUGUUCAUCUAUUGGAAGAAUAUAUUUUUUUCUCGAGUUUUCUUGGUUAUUUAAAGUGACGUAAAAUAUUUAUUCAAUAAGCGCGGUCAAGCACCAGAAUACAGAAUUGUGAUGGAAAAAGCAAGAGGGGAAGAUUUCUAGGGAAGAUAUUUGGAAACGGAGGAACGUUUUCUUGUCGGCGAAGACAACAUCAGCUCGUUGAACGUUUCAUACACAUAGAGUUACAUGUACACGAUAUAAACACAAAGGAGGAGACGUUUUUGCUCCCUUCCUUCACAGAAGAAUUCCAGCGUAGGAAUCUGCAUCUGUUUCCCUAAUGUCAAUCAUAUUUCGUUUUUAUCCCCUUCCCUAUGUCGCCAAAGCGUGCAUUUAACCAACAAAGCAACCAACCGGGGAGGAAAGGAAUUGUUAACUGUCGUCGAAUAUUGGAAUAAAGAAUUCCAGAAGAAGGAAGCGGGAGAACAGAGAGCACAUCCAGCAGCGAUAUUUCCAUGUCGUUUUAUCAACAAGAGGAGGGGGAAGAAGAUUCAAAAGGGUCUUUCCGCUUUAAUCCAAGAUUCGCAGAAGAUAAGUCUAGGAUUCUUCUUGUAUCAGAAAUAAAAAACGGAAAACAGAGGAUUAUCCCGCCAAGGUUAUUUCCAUAUCGUUCCAUCAAUCGAAGAAAGAACUCCAGAGGAGAGGAUCCACCAACAGUUUCCGCAUUGGACUCUUUCAGAGAUUCAAGAUAAUUUCCAAAUUCCUAUAAUUCCAAAAGGUAAUUUCGAAAAGAAAUUAGGAGGACAGAAGAGGAUCCGAAAAAGUACCCUCCUUUAACUCCAGAUUCAAAAGAUAAUUU